AGCGAACGCUGGCGGCAGGCUUAACACAUGCAAGUCGAACGGGCAUAGCAAUAUGUCAGUGGCAGACGGGUGAGUAACGCGUGGGAACGUACCUUUUGGUUCGGAACAACACAGGGAAACUUGUGCUAAUACCGGAUAAGCCCUUACGGGGAAAGAUUUAUCGCCGAAAGAUCGGCCCGCGUCUGAUUAGCUAGUUGGUAGGGUAAUGGCCUACCAAGGCGACGAUCAGUAGCUGGUCUGAGAGGAUGAUCAGCCACAUUGGGACUGAGACACGGCCCAAACUCCUACGGGAGGCAGCAGUGGGGAAUAUUGGACAAUGGGCGAAAGCCUGAUCCAGCCAUGCCGCGUGAGUGAUGAAGGCCUUAGGGUUGUAAAGCUCUUUUGUGCGGGAAGAUAAUGACGGUACCGCAAGAAUAAGCCCCGGCUAACUUCGUG
rnacentral:rRNA from 1 species